AAGGAAUCCACCCCAGGUCUGCCUGCCCCGGCUCAGCCCCGGCCCUCCCACCCUCCCACCCUCCCACCCUCCCCACGUCCUUUCAAGAACAGCAAACAAUAGACCAGCCCAGCCCUGGAAGCCGCGCUGGCCACGGAGGGUGACGCAGAACUGCUCAUCUCCAGGGAAAGGCGACAUCCCGAGAGCCCUCCAGAGCAGAUCUGAGCUCUGCUGGGCGGGGAAGCGGAGACUGAUUCGCCGCGGUCGCGGGCCCAGCGGCUGGGAGGUCCCGCGCUGGCCGAGCAAAUGAGGAGGGCGCAGGGCACGGGGGCGGUGCGCGCCCAGGACAGUUUCCCGUCGGCUUCUCCCGGACUGUCCUACCACUUCCAUCUCGGAGCGGGAUGCUCGGAUCCCCGCAAGGCCUCCUGCGGACGUGGGAGAGUUGCUGAGACAGGCAAGCGGGGUUUCGCUACUGGUUGCCACCCCUCCCGCCCUUUUGGGGAAGGUAGAGCUAAGCAGCAUUUGGCCGAAAUCCUGUGUCCGUGGAACAUUUAUUAUUAUUAUUAUUUUUCCUGAAACGCAGGUGAGAGUUGAUGAGGCUCAGCGUCUCCAGAUAAAAGAAGGGACAGAGCUGUCGGUGCGGUGAGGUUUGAAAAGUUGCGGCGGCCCCGGCAGCUGCAGGGGGCGAGCGCGGAGCAAAGCCCGGGCCGCACCAGACGGGCCCUGAGUCUCCAGGGCUCCUCGUCCCCAUGCGCCAGCGUGUCUGAUGCUUCACUGGACCCGGGUCUCUUUCUCAAUGUCAUCUCACAGCCUCUGUCCCUUGGGUAGGGAAUCAGGCUUCUGAGCUAUCAUCUGCUUAGUACCGUCGUCCUCUGCUUUGGAAAAUAUUUGAAUUGUGGUCUGAUAGAAGACAUGAAAAAGUUAGAAUACUACUAGAUUCCAAAGGGAAAAAAAAAGUUUCUUCGUUUACAAGUAGCAUCUACUGAUGGGAAUUUCUUAAUUGUUAUCAUUUAAGAAAAUACAGAACCAGGUUUGGAUCCAUGAAAACGAAUUGGUCUUCAGCCUUUCAAACACUGGCCAAAAAAAUUUGCAAAAGAAAAACACAGGCAUCAGGUAGCAGGCACAGUAUUAAAAAUUCAGACAGUUUUACUGUCGGAUCUUAAAAUAUAUUAGAAGUGUGUGACUUUCAUAAAGGACGAGAGAGAAUCAACUUCAUGCUAUUUCGAUAGGUAUUUUCUAGAUAUGCCAGAUAAUUUUGUCUUAUUAUCUCACAGAUUACUUGUUUCAGCCAUACACCAUGGGGAAAAAAAUGGCAAGGGGUUUGAAUGAUCGUUUCCAGAGCAGUUUUUCGUAGCUACAGUAGUACUUCCAUUUUACAAAUUCUCUGUGUUAGUCAUUCACUCAUAUAUUUCAUUCACCAAACAUUUAUUAAGGCUCUUCUAUGUGCUGUGUACAGUGCUAGACUUGGGAGAAGAGGGAUAAGUGGUGAGAGGGACAUACAAAAUUGAAUUAGAAAAAUUCACAGUUUAGGCAACUGGAAAUGCUAGGAAGCAGUUGUAAACCACUAUGAUACAUUCUUGUCGUGAGACGCCACCAGGGCAGCCCCUGCUAAUGGCCGGGAGAGGUACACUGACCACAGCUGAGUUUCGGGGUUCAUCUGCGUGGUGGCCUUUGCUCUUUCAAGGCAGCCACUAUUGGUUCCAUUUACAACAGGAGGAGACCAACACUAAAAGUGCAGUGAUGAGCCUCAUGUCUCACAGUUAGUCAGGCUCCUAAUCCAAAAGCCACUGCUAUGACCUGCGCUUCCGGACAUUCUGCCAUUUGAUCCCUACAACCUCACUACCUGAAGGACUAUAUUUUGAUCAUUCUUAAUGGGCCAGCUUCAAACCCCGUCAAGUUUUGAAGAGGGCAGAUGAAGCUGAUGACAGCUCCAGUUCCAGCUAUGGGUGACCUGUCUGUCUGCCUUUUUUGAGCUGUGGAGUGAUCAGAGUCAUAUUCGCUGCCUGUGCAGUACCACAGGCCUGAUGAAAAUGAAAUGGCAACACCACACAGAUGGCGAAGCGUAGGUCUCACAAGCGUCCUGGCCACGAAGCGUUGUCUUCAGCUUCGAUGUCUUAGCCUUGAGAGAGCAGCAGGGCCAUUCAGCAGUCAUUUAGCCACAGGAAUGUCCGUCACUGAAGGCUGUUUCUGCUGUUGUAUUCUGUCUCAGACCUAGAUGCCUGCAGUUUCCUCGGAUUGAAAACAUGGAGGGAUCUCCUGGUGCAGUGAGUCCAGCAUAUCCAGAGUGAAGCACAGUCACUGGUCAUUUUACACUACAUGGAAAAUCUCAACAAGUUUCAAAUUUUGAUAUUUUGGGUUUGUAUUUUAAAUGAAGUAGGGGAUUGAAAACUCUGCUGAGCCUCUUAGUAAAAUGAAAAACUAAUUAAUUAAUUAAUUUUUGAGACAGUCUCACCCUGUUGCCCAGGCUGGAGUACGGUGGCGCGAUCUCGGCUCACUGCAACCUCCACCUCCUGGGUUCAAGCAAUUCCUUUGCCUCCCCGACCCGAGUAGCUGGGAUUACAGGCGCCCACCACCACGCCUGGCUAUUUUUUGUAUUUUUAGUAGAGACAGGGUUUUGCCAUGUUAGCCAAGCUGGUCUCAAACUCCUGACCUAAGGUGAUCCGCCCGCCUUGGCCUCCCAAAAUGCUGGGAUUACAGGCAUGAGCCACCGCGCCUGGCCUAAUUUAUGAUGAAAGUAGGUCUGUUAGUUUAUAAAAUGAUAGUCAUCUUGGGGUCUUAAUUAGCAGACUUCCUUUCAGUGGUUGUGUCUCUAGAUAGCAAAUGUGGCAUUUUAGAAAAUACUUCCGUGUCUAGCUAUUAGAAUAUGUCUAUUAUCAGGAAAUGAGUAGCCACACUACUUGCAAAAUGUUCAUAUUUAGAGGGAUAAAAGAUAGCUUGAAUAAUAUGAAAAUCAACACUUCCCCUGAUGGUGGAAAUAUGUUCUUUGGAGAAAAGUUCAAGCAUUUUUAAAGUUAAGUAUUAUGUUUAUUACUGUUAGCUCUGGGACUCUGCCCAAACAAAUCAUUUUUCCAACCAUGUUAAUUCCACUGAAUUAAACUUUAUUUUUUUUCUUCUCUAAAAGACCUGAUUUGCCCGUAAGAAUUUGGUUAUGCAAUUAUAUGUUGACCAAUUAGAAGGUAAAGCCCUGGAUUCUAAAAGUUUUGUGUUUUAUUUGCCCGUUUUUUUUUUUUUGAGACAGAUUCUCACUCUGUCACCCAAGCUGGAGUGCAGUGGCACGAUCUUGGCUCACUGCAGCCUCUGCCUCCCAGAUUCAAGCGAUUCUCCUGCCUCAACCUCUUUAGUAGCUGGGACUACAGGCGUGCACCACCACGUAUGGCUUUUUUUUUUUUUUUUUUUAGUAGAGAUGGGGUUUCAGCAUGGUGGCCCGGCUGGUCUCGAACUCCUGACCUCAGGUGAUCCUCUCGCCUCAGCCUCCCAAAGUGUUGGGAUUACAGGUGUGAGCCACUGUGCCUGGCCUUAUUUACCAUUUUUAAGUGUACACUUCAGUGGCAUUCAGCACAUUCACAUUGUUUUGCAACCUUCACCACCAUCUAUCUGCAGAACUCUUUUCAUCUUGCAAAACUGGAAUUUUGUAUCCAUUAAACAAUAACUCCCCACUCGCCCUCCCAGGCUCCUGGCAACUGCCGUUCUACUUCCUGUCUCUGAAUUUGCCUACUCUAGGUACCUCUUAUAUGUGGAUUCUACAGUAUUGUCCUUUUGUGUCUGGCUUAUUUCACAUAACUUAUUGUCCUUAAGUUCCAUCUAUGUUGUGGCAUAUGUCAGAAUUUUGUUCCUUUUUAAGGCUGAGUAAUAUUCCAUAAUGUGUAUGUAUUAUAUUUUGUUUAUUCAUUCACCUGUUGAUGGAAAUUUGGGUUGUUGCCACCGUUUUCAUUCUUUUCAAUGGCUGCAUGGUAUUCUGUUCUAUGGUGAUAACAUAUGACAUAAACCAGUUCUCUGUAGAUAGGCUUUCAGUUUUUUCCAUGCUUCUGUGAAUAACUGUAAACUUAAACCAUUUCACACAUAUACAAGCAUGUUUGUCAAUCAAAUGUAUUGAUAUUGAUUUGUUGAAAAGGAAUGUUUUGGGCAUAUUAAAUAUUGGGAUGUUGAUGAAUUGCCUUCUGUGGAGAUUAUACCAAUUUAUGUCUCCUGUAGACGGAACCUGUCUCCCAAGCCUUCACCAACACAGCGUGUGAACAAAUUCCUUCAUCUUUGCUCAUCUCAUGAUGGAAAAUGGUGUCUCAGUGUGGUUUUAGUUUACAUUUCUCCUAUUUUAAGUGAUCUCUGAAUGUUUCAGGGCCAUUGUAUUUCUUUUACUGCAACUAUCUGUUCAUUUCCUUUGUUCACUUUUCAGUUAGGCUCUUGGUUUUUUCCCCUCCUUCUUCUUUAUAUUGGCUGUUGUUACAAAAUGUGCUUUUAUUUGUUUGUGCAGCCUGUGGGAGUCUUUGGGGUUCUGCUGUGAAACAGGAGAUUGUCUGAGAAUUAGUAAAACCUACUUUUCAAAACCGUUGAUCGAGUACUGGCUUGGUGACAGUAGGUUUUAUUCAGGGGAGAGUCCAGUGCGGUAGGAGGCCUUACUGAAGUGGUUCAUAUUCAGAAGGAAUAAUAUCCUUGUGAGAAUUUUAUAACAAUCUGUAUUCUCAUAAUUGUUUUAACGUUAAGAUUUACUUAUCUUUUAAAAGUUGAAUAUGUAAACUCCAGAUAACAAAUAACUUAGUAAUAGCAUAUUGUUAAAUUUCAUUUUGCUAAGCCCAUACAGCUAACUGCAUACUGGAAAACUCAAACUCAACAUGUCCCACUCUGAAUUCGUUCCUUUGACCCACAGAGUAACUUCCCAGUCCCUUAAUUUUCUGUCUUGCUUUUCAGGUAUCUCUCCACUCUCCUCCGCAUCCAGUACAUCACCGCCAUGGGCUGAAUGUUUGUGUCCCGGCAAAUUUCUGUGUUGAAAUCUAAGCCCCAAGAUGAUGGUAUCAGAGAUGAGGGCUUUGGCAGGUGGUUAAGCCGUGAAGACAGAGGCCUGAUGAAAGGGGUUGGUGCCUUUAGAAAAGAGGCCUCAGAUAGCUGUCCCGUCCCUUCUACCAUGUGGGAAUGAAGAGAGACAGUAUCACCUGUGAACCAGAAGGUGGCGCUCACCAGACAUUGAAUCUGCUGAUGCAGUGUUCUCGGAUGUGAACCAGAAAAUCUGAGACGGGUCUUAGUUAAUUUGGAAAGUUUAUUUUGCCAAGGUUGAGGACGUGCUUGUGACACAGCCUCAGGAAAUCCUGAUGACAUGUGCCCAAGGUGGUCAGGGCACAGCUUGGUUUUAUACAUUUAGGGAGACAUGAGGCAUCAAUUAAUAUAUGUAAGAAACACUGGUUCGGUCUGGAAAGGCGGGAAAACUUGAAGCAAAGGCAGGAAGGCUGGAAGCAGGGAGGGAGCUUCCAGGCCACAGAUAGGUGAUACACAAAUGGUUACAUCCUUUUGAAUUUCUCAUUAGCCUUUCCAAAGGUGGCAAAUCAGAUAUGCAUCUAUCUCAGUGAGUAGAGGAAUGGCUUUGAAUAGAAUGGGAGGCAGGUUUGCCCUAAGCAGUUCCCGGCUUGAGUUUUCCUUAGUGAUUUUGGAGUCCCAAGAUAUUUUCCUUUCACAUGGACUUCCCAGCCUUUAGAACUGUCAGAGAUAAAUGUCUGUUGUUUAUAAGCCACCCAGUUUAUGGCAUUUUGUUAUAGCAGCCCAAACCAAAUAAGAAGACCGCCAGCCAGUUCUACCUAAACAGUCCCUCCAUGUGUCCACCAUCCUGAGUCCCCAUUACCACGCCUUGUCCAGACCCCAGCAUUUCUGUGACUUGAUGCAAUAUAAGUUUACUGCCUAAAUAACAGGUACAGGACUUUGUGUGGACAAAUGUGCUCUUUUCUCCUGGGGUAAUAUCUACGUACAAAUGACUGGGUCACGUGGUAGGUAUUUUUAACUUUUUAAAAAACUACCAAACUGUUUUCCAUAGUCUUUGCACCAUUUCACUUUCCCACCAGCAAUGAAUGAGUGUUCCAGUAACUCUGCAUUCUCAACAGCACUUGUUAUCAUCAGCACUUGUUAUCAUCACCUUAAAGAGUUUCAGCCAUUCUAAAGGUGUGUAGUGGUUUUCUCCCCACCUUUUAAUUUUCUUAAUAGUGCCCUUCAAAAAACAGAAGUUUUUAAUUUUGAUGAAAUCUAGUUUACCAAUUGUUUUCUUUUAUGGAUUGUGCUUUUUGUUGUUACAUGUAUGAAAUCUUUGCCUAACCCGAGAGUGCAAUAUUUUUUUUCCAUGUGUUCUUACAGAAGUCUUAUAUAUCUAUGUUUUACAUUUAGGUCUACGAUCAAUUUCAGUUAAUUUUCAUAUAGGGCCUAAGAUAUGGAUUCAGGUUCAUUUUCUGGCACAUGAACAUCCAUCUGUUCCAGCACCAUUUGGUGAAAAAAUGAUACUUUUCCAUUGAAUUACUUUUGCAUUUUUAUUGAAAAUAAGACAAAAUUCCAAAUACCAUAAUCCUGAAUGCUAAAAUCCCAAAAGAUCAAAGAUCCUAAAGUAUAAAUCCCUAAAGUCUAAAAUUCUGAAAAUCACAAUCACAGGAUAGGGUUUUUUUUCCUUUUCUUCUAUUUUUUUCACUAUUUUAAAUAGCAAAACAAUUCACUAUGCUAUAUAUUUCAUCGUUGCAUCAUUUCCAAAACUUGACGUAUAGGUUGUGCAGAGACGUUUAGAGAGUCCUAAUUUGUUUCAUGCAUUUUUUUGCAAAUGUGACUCCAUGAAAGUUCAUUAUCUCAAUGUUGAUUUUGUGUAUAAACAUUGUGUAUGUACAUGAAAACAUUGAAACCUCCUCAGUGAUGUCCUUUUUGUACACCUGCAUUUGUAAAAGACAACAUUUUUUGAGAUCUCAGCUCUUUGGGUGACUGCAUAUGUAGUGGUAAUCCAUUGUGGUUUUUGAUCAAUCUUGUCAAAAGACUUCGGUUUUUUAUCACAGUAUUUCAGAUGAGCACAUAUACAAAGCUGGUUGCACACAAUUACCAAUCAUAGUGAUAUGUGUUUACACAUUUUCCUUUUGACCUACUUCUUUAGGAAUACAGUUUAUCUGCUCAUAAAUGCUAUAUCUGUGCCAGGUAUAGUCGUAUACCUGAGUAUUUAUUCUUGCAAAAACAUGUACGCUAGUAUUGCUUCUUUUAUUGUGUAAAGCGGCCUAUGAAGUGUUCUGUUGUGUUUUUAUAUGUUUCUCAAAUAAAUCCCCCCCUCCCUUUUUUUUUGAGAUGCAGUCUCAUGUUGUUGCCAAGGCUGGAAUGUAGUGGUGUGAUUUGGGCUCACUGCAAACUCCGCCUCCCGGAUUCAAGCGAUUAUCCUGCCUCAGCCUCCCGAAUAGCUGGGAUUACAGGCAUGCACCACCAGGCCGGGCUAAUUUUUGUAUUUUUAGUAAAGAUGGAGUUUCACCAUGUUGGCCAGGCUGGUCUUGAACUCCUGACCUCAGGUGAUCCACCUGCCUCAGCCUCCCAAAGUGCUGGGAUUACAGGAGUGAGCCACUGUGCCCACACCCACUCCCCUUAAAAUGUAAGUAAAUAUCUUCAGGAAUUUUUAAAAUUAUUUUUUCCAGAAUUAUAUUUUCAGGAUUUUGGAUUUUAGGGAUUUUUGAUCUUUCAGAAUUUUAAGAGCUGGGAUUGUGUCUUUCAAGACUGCUUCUUCAGGGACUAUGACGGGCUUCCCUCUAGACAGCAUGGGCUAGGAAGCAUGUUCUGGAAUGUGACAUUUAAGCUGAGAACUGAAUUGUACAAAAAACCUAGCCACGCCAAUUACCCUAAGUGAAUUAAUGCAAAAAUAGAAAUCCAAAUACCACAUGUUUUCACUUAUAAGUGGGAGGCAAGCAUUGGGUGCACAGGGACAUAAAGAUGGGAAAAUAGACACUGGGGAUUCCAAAAGGCAGGAGGAAGGGAGAGGGUUGAAAACUUACCUAUUGGGCACUGUGUUCACUAUCUGGGUGAUGGGAUCAGUUGAAGCCCAAACCUCACUGUCAUGCAAUAAAUCCUUGUAACAAACCA